GAUCCGCUAUUAGGUGGAUAGCUUGGCUCGAAAUGACGAUGAAGGAUGUGACAAGCUGCAUUAUGCCUAGGCGAGGUGCAUGUAACCUUUGAACCUAGGAUUUCCGAAUGUGACUUCACAAUAAGUCCGAAAGGACAGUUAACGCAGGGGAUGGAAACAUCUUAGUACCUGCAGGAAAAGAAAUCAAUUGAGAUGCUGCCAGUAUCAGCGAGAGAAAACAGCAUAGGGCAAACUGAAUCUGUUACAGUAAUGUAAUAGAGAUGUGGUGUUGCAGGACAUUCUUUUAUCCUAAGCAUCUGAUCUGAACUCUUCUGGAAUGUAGGGCAGCAGAGGGUGAAAGCCCCGUAAGAGUAAGAUGAAGGAUUUUGAGUGUAUCCUGAAUAUUGUACCUUGAUUUUGGUGCAAGAAUUUUGGAGUCAUCAACUCCAAACCCUAAAUACUAUUCGAGACCGAUAGAGCAGAAGUACCGCGAGGGAAAGCUGAAAAGAACUCUCGAUAGAGAGUUAAAAGACCUUGAAACCUAAUAGUUAUAGUGGGAUAGUCCUCUUCGGAGGCCUAUCGUGCGUUUUGAAUAACGUGCCAGGGAGUAUAUCUGUGUGGCAAGCAUAAUCCUGUAAAGGGAGUAUGCAAAGGGAAACCAAUUUCUGCGCAAGCAAUGAGGCAGAUGCUAUAAAAGUGGCAUGUAGUCACAUGGAUACGACCCGAAACCGGGUGAUCUAAUCUAGGGUAAGGUGAAGCCCCUGUAAAAAGGGGUGGAGGCCUGAAGAAGUUCUGUGCGCAAGCGUUUUUCUAACUUUAGAUUAGGGGUGAUAAGCCCAUCGAACCCGGUGAUAGCUGGUUCCGAUCGAAAUUGGCCGUAGUCAAGCCUGCAGGGAGAUAGUACAACUGGUAGAGAGACGGAUUAGGGAUUUAGGGCCUUAACAGGCUCGGUCUCUUGUCCAACUCCGAAUGGCUGUACGUCUAAGAUCUGUGGAGACGGGGGAGCUGGGUAAACUAGUUCUCCUCGAGGGAAACAACCCAGACCAUGGUUAAGGCCCCUAAAUGCUAUUUGAGUGUUAUGGGUAGAAGAUCGUUUGCAACCAAAGACAGCGAGGAGGUUUGCUUAGAAGCAGCAACCCUUUAAAAAGUGCGUAACAGCUUACUCGUCAAGGUUGUAAGCAUCCAAAAUGGACGGGGCUAAAUUAGCUGCCGAUACCAUGGAGUUCUGAAAAGAAUUUGGUAGGUCGGUGUAUUGUUAGGGUAGAAGCGUGCUCACACGAGUGCGUGGACCUAACUGUAAUAAAAAUCCUGGCGGUAGUAGGAUCAUAGCAGAUUGAGAAUAUCUGCCACUGAAAGGGCAAGGGUUCCUUGGCAAUGUAGAUCAGCCAAGGGUUAGUCGAUCCUAACCGAGCUCAGAAAUUGAGUAUGUUCGGGAAAGGGAAACAGGUUAAUAUUCCUGUACCUAGUAAGUAUGUGCGGUAACGCAAGUAUGACUUUGGACGUUUUUGGCUAAACUGACACUGAAUAAGUGUUAAUGGAUAUAAGUCAAGGGAGUAUUAUUAUAAUGAGAACUUGAUUAAAGUUCAGAAUAGUAUCUCUUAAGAGGUAUUCAGUUUAUGCCUGGAGCCCAUGAAAACAGAGUCAUAAUAAAUCUUAUUAGCUCGUACCAAGAACCAGCACUGGUGCCCCUAGGUGAGAAGCCUAAAGUGUGAAAGGACAAUCUAACUAAGGGAACUCGGCAAAUUGGCCCCGUACCUUCGGAAUAAGGGGUCCCUGGUUUCGUGUUUGUAUGAAUGCGAUUUCAGGGUGCAAAAACCAAGGACGACCGACUGUUUAACAAAAACACAACUUACUGCUAGCCUGUAAAGGUUUGUAUAGUAGGUGACGUCUGCUCAGUGUCAGUAUCUAAAACUCCUUUUCAAGGGAGCUAAGGACUGAUAAACAGCGGGGGUAACUAUAACUCUCUUAAGGUGAUUUCAUUGCCUUAUUGAAAUCUGGCUAUAUGCUGGAAUAUCUCAGUAUAUCGCGUUAGAAUACCAUAAUGGUAACAUUAUGGCGAACUCUAAAAAUAUGCGAUUGGAGACAAUCAGCAGGAAAGACUUCUCUUGGAGAAGAAUCCUCAGAGACUAUAUGCCAGAAUUCUGAAAAUUUAGGAUAAGAUAUAGUCCGACCCAUUACGCGAGUAAUGGAAACACCCAAAGAAACGAGGUUUCUUGGGCGCCAGAAAAUCAAAAUUUUCUGUGCGAACAGAAAUGUUUGUUCGCCUUCUUAUUAAGGUUAGUAACCGAAAGGUGAAGUAACAGAAGUGAGCGAAAUACCUUGUCGUUUGAUUGACGACGUGCAUGAAUGGCGUAACGAGUUGUCCACUGUCCCUAGUUAGAACCUUCCGAACACUCUCUUCGGUGUGAAGGCCGAAGAUUCCCAGUGGGUCGUGAAGACCCCGUGAAACUUUACUGUAGCCUGUUAUUGCGACGCGAGCUUUGAUGUGUAGGGUAAGUGGAAGUUGUUUGAGGCACUGCUGCAAGGUAGUGUUUAGACGAAAGAUGAAACACCACUCUUUGAGGCUUACGCCGCUGAUCAAUUAUAUUGAAACAGUAGCAGGUGGACAGUUUAGCUGGGGCGGCAUACCCAUGAAAAUAUAUCAUGGGUGCUCAACGGUCGGCUCAACCGGGUCAGAAACAUUGACAGCAGGAAAUGUGCCAGCUGUCAAGCUGAGCAUCCGGUGUAGAGUGCAAGGGCAAAAGCCGGCCUAACUGGACUCUUAACAAGACAGAUUCCAGUAAAGAAAUUUGGGCCUAGCGAACCACCAUAGCUCCUUGAUGGGGCUUGGUGCUGACCGAAAAGUUACUCCGGGGAUAACAGGGUUGUCGCGCCCGAGCGUUCACAGCGACGGCGCGGCUUGCUACAUCGUUGUCGGCUCUUCCUAUCCUGGGCGUGCAGAAGCGUCCAAGGGUGGGGGUGUUCACCCAUUAAAAGGGAUGUUAGCUGGGUUCACAACGCUGUGAGGCAGUUGGUUUAAUAACUACUGGGAAUGUACAAUGUCUGAAAGGAAGGACCAUUUAGUACGAGAGGAACGAUGGUUCGACGCCUCUGGUCGAUCAGUUGUCUAACAAGGCAUGCUGAGCAGCUACGCGUUAAGGGAUAAUGGCUGAAAGCAUCUAAGCCAGAAACCCUCCUUGAAAAGAGACAUGAGGAAUACUCAUAGAAGAUGAGUUUAAUGGAACUGGGGUGUACGCACCAAGGUAACGAGGUGUUCAGCCCGCAGUCCCCAAUAAUUCCGUUAUAACUAAA
rnacentral:rRNA from 1 species